UACGUAGGGGGCUAGCGUUGUCCGGAAUCAUUGGGCGUAAAGAGCGUGUAGGCGGCCCGGUAAGUCCGCUGUAAAAGUCAAAGGCUCAACCUUUGAAUGUCAGUGGAUACUGCCGGGCUAGAGUCCGGAAGAGGCGAGUGGAACUCCUGGUGUAGCGGUGAAAUGCGCAGAUAUCGGGAGGAACACCAGUGGCGAAGGCGGCACUCUGGGCCGGUACUGACGCUGAGGAGCGAAAGCGUGGGGAGCGAACAGG
rnacentral:rRNA from 1 species